AGCGAACGCUGGCGGCAGGCCUAACACAUGCCAGUCGAACGAACCUUUCGGGGUUAGUGGCGGACGGGUGAGUAACACGUGGGAACGUGCCUUUAGGUUCGGAAUAACUCAGGGAAACUUGUGCCAAUACCGAAUGUGCCCUUCGGGGGAAAGAUUUAUCGCCUUUAGAGCGGCCCGCGUCUGAUUAGCUAGUUGGUUGAGGUAAUGGCUCACCAAGGCGACGAUCAGUAGCUGGUCUGAGAGGAUGAUCAGCCACAUUGGGACUGAGACACGGCCCAAACUCCUACGGGAGGCAGCAGUGGGGAAUCUUGCGCAAUGGGCGAAAGCCUGACGCAGCCAUGCCGCGUGAAUGAUGAAGGUCUUAGGAUUGUAAAAUUCUUUCACCGGGGACGAUAAUGACGGUACCCGGAGAAGAAGCCCCGGCUAACUUCGUG
rnacentral:rRNA from 1 species